rnacentral:rRNA from 1 species
CCUACGGGAGGCUGCAGUGAGGAAUAUUGGUCAAUGGUCGGGAGACUGAACCAGCCAAGCCGCGUGAGGGAGGAAGGUACAGAGUAUCGUAAACCUCUUUUGUCAGGGAACAAAGACUGGGACGCGUCCCCGGAUGAGUGUACCUGAAGAAAAAGCAUCGGCUAACUCCGUGCCAGCAGCCGCGGUAAUACGGGGGAUGCGAGCUUUAUCCGGAUUUAUGGGGUUAAAGGGGUGCGCAGGCGGUCUUUUAAGUCAGCGGUAAAAGGCCGGGGCUCAGCCCCGGCCCGCCGUUGAAACUGGCAGUCUCGAGUGGGAGAGAGGUAUGCGGAAUGCGCGGUGUAGCGGUGAAAUGCAUAGAUAUCGCGAAGAACUCCGAUUGCGAAGGCAGCAUGCCGGCUCCACACUGACGCUGAGGCACGAAAGCGUGGGUAUCGAACAGGAUUAGAUACCCUUGUAGUC